GACGAACGCUGGCGGCGUGCUUAACACAUGCAAGUCGAACGAUAAGGCCCUGCUUUUGUGGGGUGCUCAAGUGGCGAACAGGUGAGUAUCACGUGAGUAACCUGUCCUUGUCUUUGGGGUAACUCCAUGAAACUCGAGCUCUUAUCCGGCAUGACCACCUGCUGCAUGGGUGGGGUUGUAAAAUUUCGGCGUUUUGGGAUGGACUCGCGGCUUAUCAGCUUGUUGGUGGGGUAGUGGCUUACCAAGGCUCUGACGGGUAGCCGGCCUGGGAGGGUGACCGGCCACAAUGGGACUGGGGUGCGGGCAAGAGGCCUACGGGGGGAAGCGGUGGGGAAUAUAGCACAAUGGGCGGAAGCCGGAUGCAGCAACGCCGCGUGCGGGAUGACGGCCUUCGGGUUGGAAACCGCGUUCGCCUGUGACGAAGCGUGAGUGACGGUAAUGGGUAAAGAAGCACCGGCUAACUACGUG
rnacentral:rRNA from 1 species